UCCCUGGUGGCUCAGUGGUAAAGAACCCACCUGCAAUGCAGGAGACCCAGGUUCAAUCCCUGGUUGGGGAA
rnacentral:tRNA from 1 species